rnacentral:lncRNA from 1 species
UAAGAAGCCCCCAGGGCAGCCCCGGCUGAGUGGUGGGGCUUCAGCCCCCAGGACAGCUCUGCUUGCUUCUCAUAGACCGUGUCCGCAAAGCCAGGCCCCUUCUGCACCAAUGAUACCUGCUACAUGGCAGCCGGAUGCCUCUCUCGUCAGGAGCCUCGAAAAUCUACCUCUGACUCAGAAGAGAAGACGGAUAAGCAAGCCGUGGUGCAUCCAGACAACGGAACAUCAUUCAGUGGUAAAAAGGCAUGAGGUACCCACGCACGAGCAGACACAGAGGGACCUUCCGUGCACGGCACUCGGUGAAAGAAGCCACACACUGUGAGUCCAACCACGGGACGUUCAGGAAAAGGCGACACGGUGCACACAGUAAAAAGAUGGGGGGUGGGGGCAGAGGUUAGAGGGGAGCCGGGGAUGAGCCGUGGAGCACGGUGUUUAGGGCUUGGAGGAUUCUUAUGAGAACGUAGUGGCAGACACGUGCCGUAUUACACAUCUGUCAAAACUUACAGGAGGCACAACACUCAGAGGGAACUUUAAU